AUUAUUUUAAGAUUAUUUUUUAUUGUUGAAAAAAUUAAAAAUAAAUUGUUUUUAACAAAAAUUAAAAUUUAUAAUAUUUCAUUUUUUGGUUUUUUGUUUUAAAUUAAAAUAAUAAAUAUGGGGGAAAAAAAAAUUUUGUUAUAAAUUAUAUUAGUUUAUUUUAAUUAAAAAUAUUUUUUAUUAAAUUUGUUUUUUUUUAUUUUUUUAUAAAAAAUAUUAAUUUAAUUAUUAUUAUUGAGUUUAAUUUAGUUAUUUUUAAAAAAAUUUUGUAUAAAAUAAAUUUGAUAAUAAAUGUUUUUUAAAUUCUUUGGGGGUUUAGUUUAUGAUUUUUUGUUUCUGCUCAUUGUUAAAUAAAAGCACUUUUAGCGUGAUUGGUCAAAGGUA
rnacentral:rRNA from 1 species